rnacentral:tRNA from 2 species
GCGGGUGUAGCUCAACGGUAGAGCAGGAGCCUUCCAAGCUUCUGAUGACGGUUCGAUUCCGUUCACCCGCU